rnacentral:rRNA from 1 species
GCUUAACACAUGCAAGUCAGGCGAGAAGUGUUGUUUCCAGUGGCGGACGGGUGAGUAACCCGUAAGAACCUGUCAUUGGGAGGGAAACAACAGCUGGAAAAGGCUGCUAAUAUCCUGUAGGUUGAGGAGCAAAAGGAAAAACUGCUCGAGGAGGGGCUUGCGUCUAAUUAGUUAGUUGGUGAGACAAUAUCUUACCAAGAAAUGGUCAAUAGCUGGUCCGAGAGGAUGAUCAACCACACUGGGAUUGAGACACGAUCCAGACUCAUAUGGGAGGAAGCAGUGGGGAAUUGUACUCAAUCUCGAUAGACAAAAGUAGC